UACGUAGGGUGCGAGCGUUGUCCGGAAUUACUGGGCGUAAAGAGCUCGUAGGUGGUUUGUCGCGUUGUUCGUGAAAACUCACAGCUCAACUGUGGGCGUGCGGGCGAUACGGGGCAGACUGGGAGUACUGCAGGGGGAGACUGGAAUUCCUGGUGUAGCGGUGGAAUGCGCAGAUAUCAGGAGGAACACCGGUGGCGAAAGGGCGGGGUCUCUGGGGCAGUAACUACGUGA
rnacentral:rRNA from 1 species